rnacentral:rRNA from 1 species
UUUGAUCCUGGCUCAGGAUGAACGCUAGCUACAGGCUUAACACAUGCAAGUCGAGGGGCAGCAUUGGAGUAGCAAUACUUCAGAUGGCGACCGGCGCACGGGUGAGUAACACGUAUCCAACCUGCCGCUUACUCGGGGAUAGCCUUUCGAAAGAAAGAUUAAUACCCGAUGGUAUAAAGAGUUCGCAUGUUCUCUUUAUUAAAGAAUUUCGGUAAGCGAUGGGGAUGCGUUCCAUUAGAUAGUUGGCGGGGUAACGGCCCACCAAGUCUACGAUGGAUAGGGGUUCUGAGAGGAAGGUCCCCCACAUUGGAACUGAGACACGGUCCAAACUCCUACGGGAGGCAGCAGUGAGGAAUAUUGGUCAACGGACGAGAGUCUGAACCAGCCAAGUAGCGUGAAGGAUGACUGCCCUAUGGGUUGUAAACUUCUUUUAUAAGGGAAUAAAGUGAGGGACGUGUCCCUUUUUGUAUGUACCUUAUGAAUAAGGAUCGGCUAACUCCGUGCCAGCAGCCGCGGUAAUACGGAGGAUCCAAGCGUUAUCCGGAUUUAUUGGGUUUAAAGGGAGCGUAGGUUGACAUAUAAGUCAGCUGUGAAAGUUUACGGCUCAACCGUGAAAUUGCAGUUGAUACUGUAUGUCUUGAGUGUACAAGAGGUGGGCGGAAUUCGUGGUGUAGCGGUGAAAUGCUUAGAUAUCACGAAGAACUCCAAUUGCGAAGGCAGCUCACUGGGGUACAACUGACACUGAGGCUCGAAAGUGUGGGUAUCAAACAGGAUUAGAUACCCUGGUAGUCCACACAGUAAACGAUGAAUACUCGCUGUUUGCGAUAUACAGUAAGCGGCCAAGCGAAAGCAUUAAGUAUUCCACCUGGGGAGUACGCCGGCAACGGUGAAACUCAAAGGAAUUGACGGGGGCCCGCACAAGCGGAGGAACAUGUGGUUUAAUUCGAUGAUACGCGAGGAACCUUACCCGGGCUUGAAUUGCAGAGGAACAUAGUUGAAAGAUUAUGGCCGCAAGGUCUCUGUGAAGGUGCUGCAUGGUUGUCGUCAGCUCGUGCCGUGAGGUGUCGGCUUAAGUGCCAUAACGAGCGCAACCCUUAUCAUUAGUUACUAACAGGUCAUGCUGAGGACUCUAGUGAGACUGCCGUCGUAAGAUGUGAGGAAGGUGGA